AUGUCCUCUGGGGCUAGCGCGAGCGCCCUGCAGUGCCUGGUGGAGCAGCUCAAGUUGGAGGCUGGCGUGGAGAGGAUCAAUGUCUCUCAGGCAGCCGCAGAGCUUCAACAGUACUGUAUGCAGAAUGCCUGCAAGGAUGCCCUGCUGGUGGGUGUUCUAGCUGGAAGUAACCCCUUCUGGGAACCCAGAUCCUGUGCUUUACUCUGA
rnacentral:lncRNA from 1 species